GUGUCAGCCGCCGCGGUAAUACGUAGGGUGCAAGCGUUAAUCGGAAUUACUGGGCGUAAAGCGUGCGCAGGCAGUUUUAUAAGUCAGAUGUGAAAUCCCCGAGCUCAACUUGGGAACUGCGUUUGAAACUGUAAGACUAGAGUGUGUCAGAGGGGGGUAGAAUUCCACGUGUAGCAGUGAAAUGCGUAGAGAUGUGGAGGAAUACCAAUGGCGAAGGCAGCCCCCUGGGAUAACACUGACGCUCAUGCACGAAAGCGUGGGGAGCAAACAGGAUUAGAUACCCUGGUAGUCCACGCCCUAAACGAUGUCUACUAGUUGUUGGUGGAGUAAAAUCCAUGAGUAACGCAGCUAACGCGUGAAGUAGACCGCCUGGGGAGUACGGUCGCAAGAUUAAAACUCAAAUGAAUUGACGG
rnacentral:rRNA from 1 species